UGUGAGGGUUGCUGGAGGUAUCAGAAGUGCGAAUGCUGACAUAAGUAACGAUAAAGCGGGUGAAAAGCCCGCUCGCCGGAAGACCAAGGGUUCCUGUCCAACGUUAAUCGGGGCAGGGUGAGUCGACCCCUAAGGCGAGGCCGAAAGGCGUAGUCGAUGGGAAACGGGUUAAUAUUCCCGUACUUGGUGUUACUGCGAAGGGGGGACGGAGAAGGCUAUGUUGGCCGGGCGACGGUUGUCCCGGUUUAAGCGUGUAGGUGUGUGUUCCAGGUAAAUCCGGUUCACUUUAACACUGAGGCGUGAUGACGAGGCACUACGGUGCUGAAGCAACAAAUGCCCUGCUUCCAGGAAAAGCCUCUAAGCAUCAGGUAACAC
rnacentral:rRNA from 1 species